rnacentral:lncRNA from 1 species
GUUGGAUCCAUCGUAAAUCGUUGAAGGUAAGUUAAUAUCUAUGAAUAAUAGUUAAUAACAGUUCAUAUCAGCAUAGCAUACGAAAACUACUUAAGGUGGUAUGGGAGUCUAAAAUAAAAAUGAUAGAAUUUGUUCAUACUUUGCCAAAACGUAGUAUCUAUUGAUAUAUGUUGAAAAAUGUUAUAAAAAUGAUAGGUCACCGCGCAUUUUCUCAAGCUUCAGGGCGUGACAAAAUGACACAUUUUGUAUGGAUUAUACAGGAAAAAAAAACAAUUUUGUGAUUAGAAACUAAACAAAAUGAUAGAAUUGUUAAAAACUUAAGGAAAAAUAGCUUUCAGACAAUGCUUUGAGAAUAUCAAAAGAGAAGGUAGGGUCACCGUACGUUUUUUCCGGCUAAAAUACAAAAUAGGAAAAUUCCAUGUAGAAUCCUUCAGAAAAUGCAGUUUUAGAGUUACCUCCCCUUAAAAUGACAAUUUAAUUUAUUUUUAAGAACAACCAAAAAUAAUCAUCAUUUGCAAAAUUAUCAAUAUUUAUAAGUUAUAUUCUUAUAAAUUGAUUUUAAAUGAAAAUUCACAUUAAAUAUCUGCAUUCCUGCAUCAAAUUUUGCUAACUUGAUAGAAAAUCUGGACCUUUGGUUCUGUGUUUUUUACAAUCCAAGAUGGAGGAAGACACCCAUACCACCUUAAGAGAGCUCCAUAAACUUCGUAUUACAUGUCAUUAAGGUCAUGUACAGUAUAAUUGUUCAACACUGCAUAAAUUAUGUCGACAAGUAGUCCUCUGUGUACUCCCUAAUCAGUUCAAUUCAUAAGAAUUUUGUUUAAAAUAAUGUUCCAGUUCUUGCGUGUUUCUGAAUACUGAAGCGAUUCAUUUAGUUUAAUAGAUAUUCAGCUACGUCAUUUAAUAUUUUUAGGUUAAAGCAAUCAUAUGAGCAGGCUAUUAUGGUUUAUACACAGUGGUUAUUUAGUAGGAAAGACUGACAUGGUUAAAAAAUGACAAAAAUAAAACCAUUACUAACACAAUUCAAUUUGAACAUUCUCGUCAUUGUUAAACAAUACACAAAAUAGACAAAAUAACUCAAACUCAAUCCACAUUCAAUAAUCUUGUAUGUAUGCCUUGAGUAAAAAGAUGAUACAUGUGGACAUUUUAUUUUGUUUAUUUAGCUGAGCAGUUAAAUUCAAAGCCUCAUUCUACCCAUGACAUUCCAAAAAUAUGUUAUCGCAUGAACAUUCAUGAAAGCACAGUAUAAAAUAAUAUAAACCAGCACAAUUGAUUGAUUUAUAAGUUACCAUGCGAUUGGUAAUGUAUAAUUGCGUACAAUUCAAGUUCGCAAUAUUCGUGCUUUCAUGAUCCUCAUUCAAACAAUGUUUGUUCACUUUAAUAUAACAAUAUUUUCACUGUUAGAUAAAAGUCAUCACAAACAGCAUCUUUUAUAUUUACUUAAUCUAGCAUAAAAGGAUGUAGGCAUUAUAUUUUGCGCUAUUGUAGGAAGUACAGUUUUACUGACGCGGCCAUAGGAAGAUAACAUGAAGUUCACAUUGUUGAUGCUGAUAUUUCUUGUCAUAGCAACAGGUAUUAACUAAUGAGAAAAUCUAUGUUAGAUUGAGAUGGGUAUAUAGUGUGAUUUGUAGAUUGGUCGAACUUUAUCAAAAGGUAGCAACUGUAUCAAUAAUUACUUUCUAAAAUAAAAGUACAUGCAAUAACACAAUUAAAAUCUCAAAAUAACAUUUAAUUAUUAAAUUGGUAAAAUUUCGAUACUAGUUCAGACCUCAUUAUACUUAUUCAAGGGGUGGCAAAAUGAAAUAACAUUUAAUCAUUCAAUGCAAGACGCUUAAAGAAGAUUAAGCAUUCAUUCAACUAGUUAAUUACAAGCAAGAUUUGAGUUCUAAUAUUGAUUAAUUCUUUAAAAAAAGAUUGCAUAGAACAAUUCAUCAGACGUUAACAUGAUAAUAUUAUUUUUCUGUGGUAACGUAAUAAAUCAGGCGUAGAAAUACGGAUUUGGCUAAACAAAAAUUGUCACACUGUGAACAUUUCUUAAAGUCAUAUGAAACCUCAAAUUAAAAAAAAUGAUGCAUAUAUUUUUUAUAAACAAAAUGGAUAAAUUUCAUGAUGAAACUUAUGUACAUAUUAACAUGUUUUUUUCUGACGAAAAUUCUUUAAUUUGUCCACAUUUAGAAGAAGUUUCCUUUUUUUAAUUGCUUACUUCCAGAAAUCAAUUCGCCGAUAUAUUUUCCGUAUGCAUAGUGACCUUAGAGUGAACGAUCUCUUUAAAAUCCUGUGAUCGCAAUACGCAUGAAUCAGUCACUUAAAUAAACAAUUAUCUUGUUGUACAUGUUAAACACGUGCUAACGUGCUAUGACAUAUACAUGCAUUGGUUCAAGAAUUGGAUAAACCUUAUUUUUCACUAGUCACUCGUUUUAUACGACUUUAUAUCCAGCCAAAACAUCUUUUGCAGUUAUAUCUUACACAUAUGAAAGCUUAAAUGUCGACCUACAUUCAAUUUUGAUUCAAUGUGUUUUCUUUACGUUUGUAUAUGAUUGAAAUAAUCUUUGUUUACCAAUUGAUAAAGACCAUCGUUACAAAUAGGGUUCAUGUAACUAAUUUCAGCCUGAUAUUACUGUUCGAGAUCAAAUGAGAAAUAUAAACUAUUUACUAAAAAAUAAAUUCUUUCUUUGCUUAAGCAUUUCAUUUUUUAAAUAUUUUUUCAAUUGUAGAUAAUGUGUUUUCCCAAUGUCCUAACUGCCCAUGUUUCCCGACGAACCAAUUGGUUUGUUCAACCUAUGGUGUGACCUUUAACAAUGCAUGUUUUAUGCAAUGCUAGUAAGUAUUUUCUGAAAACAGAAAUAUGUCAAAUUAAAUUAAAUUAUAUAAUAAUAUUGUAAUAUUACAAAAAAUUAAAGUUAAUGUUAUGGGUAGGAUUAUUCAAAAGAUAUAUAUGUUUAUUACAAUUCAUUGAUUACCAAUGUUUUUGUAUUUCGUAAUAAACGAUAGAAAAUGAAUUUUCGUUUUAAAGAAACUUCUUCUCAAGGUUUGAGGGGUAAAAGUGCAUUUGCUCAAUUAACAAUACGUAUGCAAAAACACUGAACAUUCUCCUAGAAACUGUCCAUGACCGACGUGAUAUCUUAUACGUUUUAUUACAGUUUGCAAACUUUUGCCUGCAAUGGUCGAUGUCCAUGUCCCACUCCACCUCCACCACCAACUGUGUAGUAGAUAAAAGUUAGUUAAAAUGUUGAAGAUUUAAGUUUUCAGAAUUGUGUUUGAGGAUAGGAAUAUGAUUACAGUAAUCUAUUUCAGAUAGCGAACAGUCUCAAACGAAAAUCAAAAUAACAAAUUACAGAUUCACAAUUUUUUAUAGUCCGUUCUUAUGUUGUUCUGUCACACCAAUGUCACAGGUUAGGGGGAAUUUUGGGAUCCCGCUUACAUGUUUAACCCGCCAAAUUCUGAAUGUAUUUGACUGUCCCAAGUAAGGAGCCUAUAAUUCAGUGGUGUCGGUUGUUGACGUGUUACAUACAUGUUUUUGUUCAUUGUUUGUACAUAAAUUUGGUUGUUAACUUUUUCGUUCAUAUUGUUUUACAUUGUCAUAUCGGGGCCUUUUACAGUUGAUUAUGCGGUAUGGGCAUUGCUCAUUGUUGAAGGCCUAUAAUUUGUAAUGUCUGUGUCAUUUGGUCUCUUUUGCAGAGUUGUCUCAUUGGCAAUCAUACCACAUCAUUUUUUCUCAUUUUACUUAACUUUGAACUUUGGAAAUAAAUCUUAUAUAAAAAAGUAAAGUGAUGUGGUAGUAUUGCAAUUGAGACAACAAUCCACCCAAAUUCAAAUAAAGUGGAUGUACGCAAUUAUAGAUAACAAUUUGAAAAAACAUAUACGUAUAGUCGGCUAUUAAGGCCACGUAAGUUACAAAUCCUAUUGAGAAAUCCAACGGCCGUAUGCAUGUCAUACAAAUCAACUGAUGAAAAACAAAUAUGACACACAUGAAUCAACGGCUGCUAGUGACCUACAGGCUCCUGACUUGGAUCAGGCUCAUAAGGAAAAUGGCAUGUUGGAACAUCUUUGUGACCUAUCAGUCCUCUUCAUCUAGUAAAGGAUAGAAGGACUACAGCACACCAUAAGAACAUAAUAUUAAAAUCAUUUGAAAAUGGUUCAACCUAUUAGAUUCUUACAUAUCAAAAUGAAAAUAUAAAACCAAUCACGGACCGCACAUACAAAUCCAUUUAUACAGUCGUAACAAAAAAAAGACACAACGUACAGUUACAGACAACUAUUUCAAAGCCGAAUAACAACUAAUAAUGAAAUUGUGUAUCUUAAACUUAUAAAUCAAUAAGUAAACGCGUCCAACAUGCAAUGGAUUUAAAGACGUCUUUCAUAGUAAGAUAUAUAACAUGCCUUUGUGCAAUGCCAAACUAUUGGUAUGACAAGAUAGUUGUACCUUGCAAGUGCAUAUGUCUAUAUAAGUUCUGUUUAGAAUGCAAAAAUUAAUCAGAAAUCCGUCAGAUGAAGCCAAUAUUCUGAUAUCUUGAAUUUUAAAUUUUAAAUGAUUUAAUGACUAAAGUAUCUUCAGUUGUUACACACUUAUCUAACCGGUCUUGUAUUGAUAGUUGUAUAUUCUCAAUUACCCUGAAGCCCUUUAACAUCUCACAAGUACUAAAAUCCAAACUAAAAGACACGAAGAAAAUAUUUCAUUUGAAGGCUUUUAUCUCUGAUAUAUAGUUAAUAAUUUCAAGUCAACGGCUGUUAUACUGAAAAAAGUAUAUUCGCUUCCAGAUAUAUAAUACAUAGACGUUUAUGUUUAAAUUGUUCACAUCGAUGUAGAAGACUGUAAAGUGAUCAUGAAAUUUAAAUACUUAGUAAUGAAAUAAGAAGUUACUCUGGUUUGGGGUCUUAUAUGUACUAUGCCGAUUUUGGCUCCAUGCAUUUUAUGCAAUUUUUAUCUGGCAGUUUACAACCUUAAAUUCAAUGAGAACGAUUCAUUUCUUUGUUUUAAGUUGAUUCUGUUCUAUUCAAUAUUUACAAGAGUUAAUUGGACUUAAAGCAAUGUGUUAUAAUUAAAAUAAUCGAAAAGACACAUUUCUUUUUCAGCACCAAGUGAGACUGAAAUAUCAGAAAAUCUAAUUAAAUUAAAAAAAAUAACAUUUAAAUUGUAAUUUCGUCUUGUCUACUGGUUAUGGAAAAGAAGAGUAAGAUAAGAGUUUGAAG